ACUUCUCCUUGCUGUCACCAUGUGAAGAAGGACGAGUUUGCAUCCCCUUCCACCAUAAUUGGUGGAGAAGGCCUGCCUAGAAAGAUACAUCUGACGACAUAACAAUGAGAUAUUGGGGGACAAACUGGCAACAUCAUAAAAUAUUGCAAUGUACGUUCUGCUAGACUCAGCAAACCCAUGCCUAAAAAUGUACCCUAUGGAGAAAAACGAAAAAAAUGUGAGAAGAUGUUAGGUUUAAAUGAUGUUCCCAGCAGCACGAUGCCUACAAGAGUACAAUGAAAAACAAGACAGAUGCCUGGAAAUACUGAGAUAUAAGACCUAAGGGAAAGGCCUAGGCUAGACCAGAAACCAACUGAAGCAUCCUGAGGAAAUAAUUUGUUUUAUCUUCUGAAUAAAUGAACGAUGCUCUUCGGAACCUUCCCCAUCCCUGAACUUGCUACCGCUCAAAUAAUGGUAUCUUGUAAAUAAUGCUCUUCUGAAUUUGCACAAAAAGCGAAGGUAUAUGAGGAACUAUGAGGGAACAAAUGAAGGCCAUAAAGACUUGUUCAGAUGGUUGUUGUGUCAAUUUUGACCAGUCAGAAAAACUACUUGAAAAACAUCCAAAACGCAAGGGAAUUAUUUUGUCCAAAACCACCCAGUAUCUCUUCUUUGCUACAAACUCAAACAUACCCACUGCUUCUCCCCAAAUCCUCAGAUAUAGAAUCAAUCUGAAAAGUAGUAAGUAAAAUACUUGGCAUGUAUUAUCAAAGGCAAGAUUGAUAACAAGAAGAGGUAAUGUAACACAACCUGUCAGUCUACUACACUGAAUAGUACAACCAGCACAUCUCAAAGUCUUGUUUCAAUGGCCCAUAAUAUUCUGAAGUAUUUAAAUUCUCAAGAAUUCUACCUUUGAAACAGAAACCUCUCUACAGGGUACCAUAACUAGUACAAUAAACC